rnacentral:rRNA from 1 species
UACGUAGGGUGCAAGCGUUAAUCGGAAUUACUGGGCGUAAAGCGUGCGCAGGCGGUUAUGUAAGACAGGUGUGAAAUCCCCGGGCUUAACCUGGGAACUGCAUUUGUGACUGCAUAGCUAGAGUACGGGUAGCGGGGGAUGGAAUUCCGCGUGUAGCAGUGAAAUGCGUAGAUAUGCGGAGGAACACCGAUGGCGAAGGCAAUCCCCUGGACCUGUACUGACGCUCAUGCACGAAAGGCGUGGGGAGCAAACAGG